GAGAGAAAAAUAAAUAAAAAACUAAAACAUAGGUUAAACAAACUGACUAAGAAAAAUAGACUAUAAAACAAAAGCUCAACUGACCAUUAUCGGCCUACAUCUAAAAUCCGAUACAAGCAGUCCAUUCAAGACGUCUGCUCCAGCAUUUCUAUUCAGCGGUGCUUAGAUCCAGCAUAAAUAACUUAAGUGACCUUGAAUUAUUUUACACUUUAAAAUUAUAUUUCUUAAAUUGGAUUUUAAGGUUAUUUUUUAAGGUCUUCUAUUUAUUUUAUUUGAUGGUAGAACAUUUGUUUAGUAAAAAAAUGUAUGUAACUCACUGGUUAAUGAAAUGGGUCAGUUUUUCCACGUACUGUUGUUUACUGUUUGACUUGAGCAAGACUUCUUUAGAUUCCACGCUACAAAAUAAAUGAAGGUAUGUAAGAUUUGUUCUGAUAUCGUAUCAGGUCGAUAUAAGCCAAUACUCACAGUUGCAAUAUUUGUAUCAUAUUGGAAGAGUCAAAGUUGUAUCGGGACACCCCUGAACAAAACCAUCAAACAAACAAAAUAAAUUCUACCUUACUAGUCAAAAAUAUUUAAAGGUUUGUACAAUACUCCAAGACCUGCUGUUAUUUCAGGUAAUAUAAACCAUCUUUAGAUGUGGUCAUAUUUUUAGCCAACAAGCAGACGCUAUUGAGCAGGAAGGUUUCAGAUAUCACAGCAUAAGACCAUGAACUGUUUUUCUAAAAAACAUGGUAAGCCUAACAACCAUAAGAAAUUGCCCAAAACAUACCAAAAAUUCCAAACAUCAGCAGAUAAACUCAUCGAACAUGAAAACGCACAGUUCCUGUGCAAUAAGGAAACUCCAGGGAUGAUUCCUGACACAUAAUAUAUGGCAAAUAAAAAGGCCUCUGUUUGUUGUGAGUCCAGUCCACCUGAAGGCUAAACUCCUGUAGCAGAAUGGGUGUUACCUGUAGCAAGUUUACUGAGCAGGUAAAUUGGUUGGCCAAUCACCAGAAGGGGUGCCCUAGAUAAGUGAGCCAGUUUCCUUACUGUGACUUUUCACUGAACUUCCGGGUUACCAGUGCCACGGCAUGAAGCUGGUUUAAUUGAUUUAUUCUGUCGGAGUCUGUUUUCUAAGACAGUGAAGGAGAAGUUUGCAGCCGGACUGUUAUUAAUGAACUUAUUGGCUUGGUGAGUACAGUCAUGGUUGAAGGCGGCAGAUUUUGGGAUCUUUGGAGUUAACUGGUGGGGGGUUUUUUUUCUGUUCAGCUGAGGAAAAAGUUUGUCUGCUCGACGUAGGACACAAGUGCCUUCUCCUCCUCCUCCUGACGACGAGGCUUCCAUGCAACAAGAGUGAGGUUGUCUUCCUCCCCUCACACGUGUUCAAUUGGUAGCGUGGUAUGUAUGCACCCUCCUCCUGUGAUCAUGUUUUUAUAUAUAUUAUUAUUGUCAGUAUUUUAAAGAUGCAAAUUUCUUGCAGGAAAGAGAGCCCAGUCUAUGGACACCUGCUGCUUUGCUUGCUUGUUUUAUUUAGUUUUUUUUUUUAAUUAUUACUAAUUCAUUCACCUGGUCCUGCAUCUGGCUUCUUGAUGCUCAGCUGGGUCCCCAAGUUUCCUUGUUCAGCAGCGUUUUCGCCUCCGAAUCCGAUGAAAGUUGAUUUCUAGACCAGGCCCCUUUUUAGUUCUUUUUUUUUUGUUUGUUUGUUUACUUGUUUAUUGGGAGGCCUGUUUAACUUCAUUGGUAUUAUUUUUCUUUUCUUUUCCAUUAUUUUUGUUGCAGGCUGAGCUGACUGGGGCGGUCUCGUGUUCGGUGGUGGUUCCCUGGGUGUGACGGGCCCUGUUCACUCCUUGUAUUGUGGAGCACUGUUUGGGUGAUUUGGUUUGUGUGUCUGUGUGUUUAUUUGUCUGUUUUUUUGGGGGUUUUUUUACCGUCACUAGGACCCCUCAGCCUAUAUGAAGUUAUCAAUGUAAAAAAUGUUUUAACUUGCCUCAGACAUAAUGUGUUUUUAGCAAAUGUUGUAAUAAAUUUAUAUUUAAACUUUG